rnacentral:rRNA from 1 species
GACGAACGCUGGCGGCGUGCUUAACACAUGCAAGUCGAACGGAAAGGCCCCUUCGGGGGUACUCGAGUGGCGAACAGGUGAGUAACACGUGAGUAACCUGCCCUUGACUUCGGGAUAACUUCAGGAAACUGGGGCUAAUACCGGAUAGGAAUCCUUGCUGCAUGGUGGGGGUUGGAAAGCUUCGGCGGUUUUGGAUGGACUCGCGGCUUAUCAGCUUGUUGGUGGGGUAGUGGCUUACCAAGGCUUUGACGGGUAGCCGGCCUGAGAGGGCGACCGGCCACAUUGGGACUGAGAUGCGGCCCAGACUCCUACGGGAGGCAGCAGUGGGGAAUAUUGCACAAUGGGCGGAAGCCUGAUGCAGCAACGCCGCGUGCGGGAUGACGGCCUUCGGGUUGUAAACCGCUUUCAGCAGGGGCGAAGCUUGUGGUGACGGUACCUGCAGAAGAAGCACCGGCUAACUACGUG